UUAAAAGAAAACUUUCUAAAAUGGAUGUGUAAACCAUUAAAAUAUUUAGCUGUAUUUGCAUUGGAUAGUUUCCCCUAUAUAAAACAAUAUGGAUUGUUUAAAUAAAUGGGGUUAAGGGAAACUUAUUUCUACUGUAAAGUUUAUUAAAGCUUUAGGAAUGAUGGCUUCGAUCCUUCAAACGCUUACGUGUUUAAUUUAAGCAUGGAAUAAUCUCAUCCUGGCAGUGCUAGCCAAUCCUCACAGCUUUCUCUUCCAGAAAGACAAAGGCAAGGAGGACAUCCAAAGACUGGAAAACAAGCACACUGAGCCGACUUGUACGUGAAUUAAGACCACUGGAGUAAUUAAGAAGAAAACGUGUUACCAGGAGAAGACUCUACAUACACACCAGGAUUCUUUUUGCAAGCGUAUCAUCUUUGCUAGACAUCAGUAAUAACAAACAGUAAUAAUGUAAACAUUUGAAUGGACUGGAGCAAAUCAAGAGGUUGGAGGAGUGAAUAUACUUCUGAGUGACAAAGGAGUCAGGGAACACUGUUAUUUCACUAAGCAGUAGGGGAAAGCCUGAGAUUUCUCCCAGAGGAAUUCAAGUGUACUUCUCCAAGAAUGUAACAUGGCUGGGGCAUCUUUCAAGAGGGUAACAGCCCUGCUGUACUGCCUCUACACCAAUGCGCACAGCAAGGGACACAAGCAGGAGGAAGCCACCAUGCAAUUAGAAAACUAUAAUUUAAUUGCUAUCAUGGAUACACAGAAUCAUUAAGGUUGGAAAAGACCUUUAAGAUCAUCUAGCCAUCCACCUACCACCAUUCUACCCUUUCCUUAAACGCCUCCAGAGACAACGAUUCCACCACUUCCCUGGACAACCUGUUACAAUGCCAGACCACUCUUUCUAAGAAGAAAUGUUUCCUAAUUCACAACCUGAACCUUCUCUGGCACAACUUGAGGCCAGUGUCUCUAGUUCUAUCAUUACAAAACAAGGGAUGUCAGCCACUCCUCACACCUUGCUCUCCAGAUCCUUCCCCAUCUUUGUAGCCCAAGUUUCUUUCUUGAUUGUUUCCCAAUAUCUAAUACUACACAUAAACCUAAAACAAGGAAAGAUGCGUCAAAAGAAAAACAGUUUAUUUUCAAGAACAAAUCCCUGAAACAGGCCAAAAUUCUAAUUCUCUCUAAAUUCUAAUUCACUCUAAAUUUUCUCUAACACAAUCUAUUGCCUUUGUUUACAAGUUUCUAGAUUGGAACUCUUGCUCUUAUACCUCCACACUUCUACAUAUUUCCAAAACCACACACUUCACUAGUUAUUUAAAGUGUAUUACACAGUCAUAUUUCUAUCUAUUCUUUUUACAUACCUGGGAUUUUAAUCCCAGCUUUGGCAGGUAACAGCCCUGAUGUCUUUCUUAUGGUGAGGAGCACAAAACUGAAUGCAGUACUUGAUGUGCAGUCUCACCAGAGCUGAGCACAGGGGGACGAUCACUUCCCUCCUCCAGCUUGCUACACUAUUUCUGAUGCAGAACAGGGUGCCACUGACCUUCCUGGACACCUGAGCACACUGCCAACUCAUGUCUGUCUUAACAGAUGGACAACAUCCCCAGAUCCUUUUACUCCAAGCAGUUUUCCAGCCACUCUGCCCCAAGCUUGUAGCGUUGCCUGGGGUUGUGAUCAAAGCACAGGACCCAACGUUUAGUCUUGUCGAACCUAAUCCCAUUUGAAUCCAAUCCAGCCUGUCAGAUCCCUCUGAAGGGCCCUCCUACACCCAGGCAGAUCGACACUUCCUCCCAACUUGGUGCCACCUGCAAACAUACUGAGGGUGCACUCAAUGCUUCUCAUCAGUAAAGAUAUUAAAGAGGACAGGCUCCAAUAUUGACCCCUGUGGAACACCACUUGUGACUGGUGGCCAGCUGGAUUUAAUUCCAUUCACCACCACCCUCUCGGCCUGGCCAUCCAGCCAGUUUUUUACCCAGCCAAGAGUGUACCUGUCCAAGCCAUGGGCUGCCAGCUUCUCCAGGAGAAAGCUGCAGGAGACAGUGUCAAAGGCUUUGCUGAAGUCCAGGCAGACUACAUCAAUAGCCUUUCCCUCAUCCACAAACAAGGUCACCUGGUCAUAGAAGGAGAUGGGUCAGGCAGGAUCUGCCUUUCCUGAACCUACGCUGGCUAGACCAGAUUCCCUGGUUGUCCCACACAUGCCACUUGAUCUCAUUCAAGAUGAUGUGCUCCAUAAAUUUCCCUGCCACCAAGGUCAGGUUGACAGACCUGUAGUCCACUUUAUUCUCCUUAUGACCCUUCUUAUAGAUGGAUCUGCAUUCCUGGGACCUCUCUGGUUGAUUAGGAACACUGAUAGGUGGUGGAGAGUGGCUUGGCAGUCACCUCUGCCAGCUCUCUCAGCACCCUUGAGUGGCUCCAACCGCAUAAACCUGUUACAGUCCAGAUGGAGUAGCAGGUCUCUGUUUACACCUGAACCAUGGGAGGUCUGCUCCCCACCCCAGACUUCCAGGUCGUGGUCAUCUUCCUAUGUGGUGGGACAAAUAGCACUAUGGGAAUACUAUGAUUGACAGCUGCAAAUUUUUAGAAGAGAGAAGCAGGGCAGGCAGGGUGGAGAACUUAGUAAGCAGAUAGAUUAUGAAGAGAUGUCUCUAAAAAACUGCCAUGAUCAUGUCAAAAACUUGUGGGUUAAAACCGGGGACUGAACCAAUAAAGAACAUAUGUUGGUUGGGUCUAUAACAGACCGCCUGAAGAAGGGGAGACUGUGGAUGAGGCCUUCUUGGUUUAACUACAGGAAGUGUCAUACUCACAGACUAUCACCCUGGAAGGAUUUCAGAUGUCUGCUAGUAAAGCAGACUGCAAGUAAUCCAGGAUGCUCUUGGAGUUCAUUGGCAAUAACUUCCUAGUCCGGGUAUUAGACAAACCAACUAAAAGUGAAACAUUACUGGACCUGGUGUUCACCACUGCAAAGGAGAUCAAUAAGAGGUUAAGAUUCUAUGAUUGUAUGAAAUUAAUAUUAACAAAAUGUAUGACAGAAUACAAGCAAGGUAAUUUAUUUAGAUGAUCUUUCCUUAAAUCAAUUGAUACAGCUGUGGAAACACAGAAGCCCUUUGGCACACUCAUCCCAGGUUUGGACUAAAAUAUAAAGCCUCAGUUUCAGGCAUUAAUAAGUCUUUGUACCUGGAAAUUUGUCUUUCAUUUCUCUCUCUUUUUUUUUUUUUUUUUUUAUUUUUAGAUUUUCCAGAAGUUCUGCUUAUAUUGUUCUUUUAAUUUAAUGAAAACCAUAAUUUUUCUAAGACACAUUUCUUAGUUUAGCAGUUCCCUUCCCAGAGCAUGAGACGUUAUGAUGGAUUCUGGAAGUUAAAAAAAAAAAAAAAAACAAGAAUUCCUGCCCUGUGGUGGAAACUUUUAGAAGUACUGAUUAAGUUAUUAAGUUCAUCAUGUGAAAUAAAGGGUGGAGGAACCUGUCUGGUGUUAUAAAGCUAAUGGAUUGAACUGGCACUCCCUUCAACCAGUAUCAGCUUUUUAUUUCCCCAAGCAAGAUCAUGUAAUUUCCAUAUACUUCAACUCUCCUUUUUUUCACCUGUACAGGUCAGAUAAGAAUGUGCUUUCCCCAAAAUAUUGGUGGACAUAUCACAGAUUUAAAUUUCUAUUAAAAAUAGAUUUAUUUGGGAUAUCGUUUAGACUUUGAAAUAUUUGCCAUCUAUGACACCUGAUGUGGUUGCUAUUGAUUAUCUUUGUGCUGUUUCUCCUUUCUCACAAACUUUUAAAAGAUAAUUCUGGGUCUUUUAAAUUUAAAUAAAACCUUUAUUUUCUUUGUGGAUCUAAAUUUGCUAAUCAUGGCCUGAAUCUUUUUCAGUUCUCCAUACUCAGUAAAAAUAUUAUUAGCUCUUUGUUGUUGUAUUUCACAGUCUGAAAGGCAUGCUUGUCAACUGAAAAUAUUACACAAAUCACUGCAACACAGUAUUUCAUAGAGAAUAUUUACCAUAACUGGGCUGUGGAAAUUAUUUUUUCUUGUGCUGAAUGAUGUUUAAGAACAUAUAUUAAUACUGCACUUGUACAGAAUCAGUUCAAUGGAUUUCUACUCACAGUUAGCUAAAUUGCUUUACAGACUUUCACCAACAUAAUGCUAUGAAUAAGAGGGGAAAGUUUGUUCCAGUGAGUUACCUGUGUACAAGUAAACUAAGGGAUAGGAUGCCAUCUUGAACACUGGUAUGCUAUUAUACAUGUUGAGAAAUCCUUAGUAUGGUCCUUGGCACUGCUUUGGCAUGUUCCAGCUAGCAAUUUUUGUUUGUUUGUUUGUUUGUUUGUUUUUUCUUUUUUCUUUUUUCUUUCUGAAUCUCAACAACUUAGGCUAAGAAAACUGUGUUGACUUGGAGUUAGAUUUCUUGUCUUGAGUGUGGAAGAUGAUGCUCCAUCCCAUUUACCUAGAAUACAUAUUAAUAAUCAGAUGAAUCUCAAGAAGGCUUAGAUACGGAGUUGGACAGCAAAUGUGUUUUUCCUAUGAAAAUGUUUAAUCAAAAACAACCGUAAUAUAUUUUGGUUGUAAUUUUAAAUACUGCAGUCUUAAAGUGCUAAAUCAUUGCCCUGUAUUCAUGUUUUCACAUUUAGGUUGGGUUCCCUUCCUAGAUGGUGUAUACUAUUGUAUUCAGUGGGACUACUCACAUUACUAUGGGGUUUUGUGGCUUGUAAAAGCUUGCAAAACCCCACAGAGAGUGGAAGCUUGUGAAAAAAAAGCCCUAUAGUGCG
ensembl:lncRNA